UGAGAAAAUGGCGGAGAAAUUUUGUGCCGGUCUGAGGCACGAGAUUCGGAUGACUCUAGCUAGUCAUGGUGGACUCUCAUACACUGAGUCUUUGAACAGGGCACUGGACAUCGAAGCUGCGAUGCCAGUGGAAAGGUUGGCUCCGUCACAGACCUCAGCGCCAGUCAACCCACCUGCACGCCCUCAGAACUUUAAAGGGAAGCGCAACUGGAACGACCAGGGAGGGAGUGAAAACCAGACUAACAAGAGGCCAU
rnacentral:lncRNA from 1 species